CAGGACAACACUCUUAUCAGCUGGUGAGUCUCCUUCAGUUAAUUCAGGGCUUGAUUGGCUGCCUCCUAGCUGGGUCCUGGAGUGGGUAGAGCUGAGCACAUGUGCCCUUUAAAAGCAUGCUCUCAGGAUGCUAUAGUCCUGUGGGUCCCAGGAUGUGAGCCCUGUUUGCUUUCAAAGUUGGAGCUUUUGGGGGCUCAUCUCUCAGGUGCAGGUACUGAAAGAUUUCUGCAGAACCUCUGAAAUGCCAAGAGUUUGCCUGCUGUUCUAAGUUAGGAGAAAUACUGCCUGGUCCAGCAGGUCGGAGGACCUUACCUUUGCACGGGGCCCACUGUGAAUGUGAAAUGGUCCCAUGCACUCACUGCUGCAUUCAGUGCCCCGACCCUGCAAUAGGCCGCCGCCGACUCACACCUCCACUGGAGACUCCUGGACACUCACAGGCAAGU